UACGAAGGGGCUAGCGUUGUUCGGAUUUACUGGGCGUAAAGCGCACGUAGGCGGAUCGAUCAGUCAGGGUGAAAUCCCAGGGCUCAACCCUGGAACUGCCUUUGAUACUGUCGAUCUGGAGUAUGGAAGAGGUGAGUGGAAUUCCGAGUGUAGAGGUGAAAUUCGUAGAUAUUCGGAGGAACACCAGUGGCGAAGGCGGCUCACUGGUCCAUUACUGACGCUGAGGUGCGAAAGCGUGGGAG
rnacentral:rRNA from 1 species